GGGGUCAGCAGGGUAGAGUGGACAAUGGAAAAAAUAAACAGAUGUCCCUACAUAGUGCUGAAGGUUUUUCCACUCAUGUCCCGCUAGCUACGUUAAUAUGACCGAAUCCUAAACUGUCCAAUAGUUGACCGCCUUUGUAGCCUACUAGCCAAUCCUGGCUCAGGAGGCGGGGCGUGUGUGAUAUAGAUGGGGAGAAACAACCGCUGUCCACAGCCGAUUUAAACGGAAAAAACGGGUGAAAUAGCAUUUAGACGAUGUUAUCUGGCGUAGUGGCCUAGAAAAUGUGGAUAUACUUAAAACAUUUAAUAUUUUAGCUGUUUAUGAUUCUCGCUAUCAUCAACAGACCGCUAUUGAAGACGCGCUUUGACCGGUUUGUCACGUGAUACAUGUUACUUUUAUCAGCGAGGUAUUAGCUGGACUAAUCGUAUUCAUUUACGAUGAAUUGUUUGGUGAAUGCAAUUCAGUCCUUUUUUUAUAAAUGCAUCAAGCGUAUUUUUAAAUGUAAAUCAAAAAAUCAACCCUUAGUAUGAAUAGAUUCAAACGAUUCUAGUUUUACAUUUGCAAAUUCCUCCAAUAUAGCAAUAAUCGAGUUUAUAUUUGAAUGCAGCUCAAUGGGAGUUUCGCUUUUUGGGCCUCAAGAAGCCUCCUGGAGGACUAUUGUAUAUAUGAAAUUACUUUGACUCCAUAGACUAUACCAAGAACUAGUUAUAAGCCAGCACCAUUUGCAGUCUGGUGUCCAGUAGCCUCAUUUCUGUGAACCAUGUGACGUGUGUUUACAUCCUCUCAGCUGUUCCUCAAGAAAAACAGCGCUGGAUCUUUAACGCCACGAAAACCUAUACAUCACACAACAACAACAGUGCGCUCAAAAACACAAAGCCUAAUGUGCAUCCAGUGUGUUUAGCUCGUGCAAAGCCCGAGACCGAUUCAUGGCUUUACAAAGAUCUUGCUGUAGCUGAGAAUGGUCUGAGGUGAUUUGUGUGGGACACAGGCAUCACGACUGGGCAUCCCUGCAGAGAAUCGCUCCGGCACUUUCAUCUGGAUGUGAGGACCGGUCUAGGUAUCCGUCUCUCACCUCCUCUGCAUUUUUUUUUUU
ensembl:lncRNA